CCUCCUACCCCCGCGGCGUCGCCCCGCCUCCUUCCCCAGCGCCGCCUCCUACCCUCGCGCCGCCAUGACGCCUCCUUGCCCCGCGCCAUCGCCACCGGGAUCCACUCCAGCAUUCUCCUACGAGCCCGCCACCAGAUCCAUCCAUGGGAAGGAGGGGGGUGACCACGCUGGAUCAGGCCGGCUCUACCGCCACCGACUGUCACCAGAGGUGCAUCGGGCACCCAUCCGCCCCAAGAUCCGCCGAAGAUGCCCUGGAUCCGUUGACCUCCCCCAUCCCCCACCUAGCCUAUUCUGAGAGCAUGAGUGGGAGAGGGAUGACGCUCGGGGCCGCCUCCUUGGUCCUCCUCGUCGUCCUCUCCCAUGGUGGUGGCAUGGCGUGGCUCUCUAGUGGCCAGCUCCAUUAAUAUUUCUUUCUUCUGCCACUCCCCUAUCCCUGUCAUGGCCUGCAUCGGGGUCUCUGCCAUCGUCGUAUCUCGGCAUCCCCGACCCUGCAGGACGGAUAACAGCUUUAAUGAACUGUCCCCUGCAUGAAGUGCAGUCUGUUCACUUGCGGAGACCAGAGUGCUGUUCAGAAGCUUCCGUUGAGUAUAUUUUCCAGUGUGUUGAUGCAGUUCAUUGAGGGUGAGCCCUCACGGUCUCCGGCAUGUGUCAUGCAGUGCGGUGCACGCGUUCGUGCAGUCCGGUGGAAGUGCCGAUGUAAGAAGUGCGGUGAGCUCCUUGCCGUUGUCGCGGGCUCCUCAACGACACUGGAGUGGAUGGAUUACGGGUCCAGGUUGGCAAUGGCUCUGGUUCUCCAGGGCGAGGGGGCCCUCUUUGCAGCUCAUUGAAGUUUAUUUUACAGCUCGCUGAAAGUUUGUUUUGUAGCUCGCUUGCUGGUAUAGUGCAUGGGCAACGCCUCCGUGCAGUUCAAGCAAUCGCGUGCGUGCAAUGCGGCGAGUGUGUGCGGUUCGGCGACGCAAAGUAUUUGCAUUCUCGCUAUGUUAAUACGUGGGGUUCAGUGCAUUUUAUAAGGGCGACUGCUACAAAUCAUCCGGCAGAUUUCCUAGGGAAAUCAGUCAGGUCAAGCACCGUUAUAGGUGUUGUUUGUGGGUUUUUUGUGUGUCUAUCGAAUGUAUCAAGUUGGUAUAAGAUGUAUUUUGUAUAAAAAAUAUUUGUUAAGAAGUUCAUGUCAAAAAGCAUUAAAAUUGGUCACUUUUCAAGAGAAAAAAAAUGGACGGAUGCACCUCA